rfam:Homo sapiens chromosome 2, GRCh38 reference primary assembly.
AUCCUUUUGUGAUUCGUAAACAUGAUGAUUAGGUUUUUAUGCUUAGGUGUGAGAUGUGCCUCCCUCACAUCUUAUUACGACAUCUGUACAUUACCCAUCUCAUG